AUGGCAUGCCUGGUUGGGCCGUGCUGUGCCUGGCACGUAUAGCCCCGGUCCAUCGCUCUUCUCUCGUUUCUCAAAAAAAAAAAAACAAAUAUCACUCGUCUCCCCCGGUCGGCCCCAACCCAACCACAGCGGGAGCGAGCACGCGCGCGCGCUCCAAUGUCCAUGGACGCCUGCUGCCUCGUCCGCCGGCAUCUUCACCCACCGCCGCAGCUUCCGCCCCUCCAGCGUCUGACUAUCGGCCGCCGCUGCCGCCGCCGCGGCGUCACCAUCGCCGUCGCCUGCUGCUCAACCGCGCCGGACCACCACCGGGAGCGGCCGUGGGAGUCCUACGACCGCGACAUCCAACCCCACGCGGGCUCCGAUCUGGCCCGCUCGCUCCAACUCCUCGCGGACAUGCAGGCCACCGGGAUGCGCCCCAGCGCGGCCGCCUACGCGCGCCUCAUCCGCGCGCUGGCGCGCGCCGGCCGCACGCUCGAGGCCGAGGCGCUCCUCCUCGAGAUGCGCCACCUCGGGCUCCGCCCGGACGCGGCGCACUACAACGCGCUCCUCGAGGGCCUCCUCGCGAGGGCGCACCUCCGCCUCGCCGACCGCCUCCUCCUCCAGAUGGCCGACGACGGGGUCGCGCGGAACCGGCGCACCUACAUGCUCCUGCUGGACGCCUACGCCCGCGCCGGCCGCCUCGAGGACUCUUGGUGGGUCCUCGGCGAGAUGAAGCGCCGGGGGGUCCGGCUCGGCACCGCCGGGUACAGCACGCUGGUGCGGCUUUACAGGGACAGCGGCAUGUGGAAGAAGGCCACCGACCUCAUCCUGGAGAUGCAGGAGCUCGGGGUGGAGCUCGACGUUAAGAUUUACAACGGCUUGAUCGAUACGUUCGGCAAGUACGGGCAGCUCGCCGAUGCGCGCGGGGUGUUUGAGAAAAUGCGUGGGCAGGGGAUCAAGCCGGAUAUUGCUACGUGGAACGCUUUGAUUCGAUGGCACUGUCGGGUUGGGAACAUGAAGCGUGCCCUGCGAUUCCUUGCUGCUAUGCAGGAGGAAGGGAUGUACCCAGACCCGAAGAUCUUCAUUACGAUCAUCAGCAGGUUGGGGGAGCAAGGGAAGUGGGAUGAGCUCAAAGAGCUGUUUGAUAAAAUGAGGAAUCGAGGGUUCAAGGAGAGUGGUGCAAUAUAUGCAGUUUUGGUCGACAUUUACGGUCAGUAUGGCCAUUUUCGCGAUGCCCAGGAAUGUGUAGCUGCUCUUAAAGCUGAAAACCUGCAGCUUUCGCCUAGUAUCUUCUGCGUCCUGGCGAACGCUUAUGCUCAACAGGGUUUGUGUGAACAAACUGUAAGUGUUCUUCAAUUGAUGGAGGCAGAAGGAAUUGAACCAAAUCUUGUUAUGUUGAAUUUGUUAAUCAAUGCUUUUAGUACGGCUGGAAGGCACGUGGAGGCACUAGCUGUAUUCCAGCAUAUCAAGGACAGUGGUAUGAGCCCAGAUGUUGUGACUUACACUACUCUAAUGAAGGCUUUCAUGAGAGUAAAAAGAUAUGAGAAGGUUUCAGAAAUAUAUAGUGAAAUGGAGCGUGCUGGUUGUACCCCGGAUAGAAAAGCUAGGGAAAUGUUGCAUGAUGCGUCUGUUACAAUGGAUCAAAUGGGAUAUUAUUGAAAUUGGAACCCCAGCAGCUCUGAAGUGGCUCUUGUGUUAAUGUCUAUAACUACAAGAACCCCUACUUUGCUAGCAUAUGCUUGAUGGAUCUCUUGUAAAAGUAAAAUAACAUGAGACAACAAGUACUUUGCACACAGAAAGUUCUAGUCCGAGUACUGCGUUUCAUGGAAUCUGGAGAAUCUCCCUCUGGCAUUUUCUCCAAUGGAGAUCGUUUGUUGUGGAAUAAUAAUGGGGCCAGCAAUCACAAGAUUCAGAACAACAGUGAUUCUUCCUCAGUUUUAGUUAAGACUGGAGCUCUGAGGUGGAGCAUAAGUUCAUAUCAUUCGGCGCCUGCAUAUUUCUGGCUCCACAAUGCAGAUUUCGUAGUCGAGGAAACAGUUAAAAGGAGACUUUCGGGGAUCUGGACAAGGAAAAAGAUGGUGAAGUGUACCAUAAGUCUGGAAUUCCAUUCAUUGCCCUCUUCCUGAACCACACUGCAUCGUGGUGGUUUUCAGAAUAUUAGGUGUACUGGGCAUUGACUUGUAUAUCAGGAUAGCUUAUGAAAACAAUCAUCUUCGGAAGUAGACAACUCAGAUGAUUCUCUGUAACCAUUUUCAUAGGGCUACUUUCUUUGUCUUCACUUUACAUCCCCUCUGCUUCCGCCAAUAGACUGUGAACUCAAAAUGGGAUCAAAUAAUAAGGUUAAGUGUCA